UUAAAGCAUAGCGGAAAAGCGUCUGAAAUUUUUUUUUUGAAAACCUGACCCUAGGGUAUGCCAGAUCCGCCACAAAUGCAGAAGGUCCACUGUUCACACGGACAGAGUGUCCCCUGUAUUUGCACGGCGUCGCACAAGUACAAGAGUUCAAACAUGAUACAACUACAACCAGAUGAACAUACAAAUAACCACAGUUAUAUAUUCAUACACCAUUCACCACAGGUUCACAUUUUUACAUUCAAUAUUUAAACAUAAAUCCACAUCUAUCAGUUAAAAUGUUUCCAACCACAGAAACAAGUUUUGAAAUACUAAGAUGCAAAAUCCAUAGAAAAUCCUUUGAAAACUGUUCCCACACAGGAACUUUUAUUCUUUAAAAACGCUACCACGAGGGGUAGAAAACCUUUUAUUUCACAAAAUCCAGAAAUCCAUUUAUUACAUUCACGAAAAUUCAUAUUUUCAAAUGUAAUAAAAGUACUGAACCAUAUAACUAUCUAAGCUAUAACAACUGAGAUACUAAGGGUAAUAACUAUACCGAAAUAACCUGGGUCGGAAGCUCUAUCGUCCGCUACACACGUACCUCACGUCUCGUCCCACUACUCAACGCCCGCGAUACCUGAAAAAUGGUGGGGGAGGUGAGAACAUGUAAACAUGUCUCCCCUCCCAGUGGGUACCGCAAGCCGAAGAAGGCGAGGAGUACUCACCGGAUCAGGAAGAACUAUACAACAACAUGGGUCAGUGGAAAUAAACAAAGUAAUGAGCAGAUAUACAACAACGAUAAACUGAAAGGAAGUGAGAACUAUACUGAAUAAACUGCUACCGCUACUGUAACUAGAACAGAAAGCAUACAUGAAUAUCUACUAUAGUAGCAAGACAACUAUAAAGUAAGAACUAUAAGUAUGCAUGCAAUGACUGCUGCUAUAGACAUAUGCGUCAACCGGUCAAGAAGUCCAAAAGUACCCAAUCUGAAACCAAUGCUCUCUUGGUCAGCACCGCAGACCUCAAGCCAAU
rnacentral:lncRNA from 1 species